ACUAAAUAGAUACCCAGGUAGUCCACGCCCUAAACUAUGUACAUUAGCUUCGGGGAACUCUGACGUUUUCCGAAAGCGUAGGGAAAACCGUUAAAAAUGUACCGCCUGGGAAGUACGGUCGCAAGAUUAAAACUCAAAGGAAUUGACGGGGGCUCACACAAGCGGUGGAGCAUGUGGCUUAAUUCGAAGCAACGCGAAGAACCUUACCUGGGUUUGACAUGUACGGAUGGCGUCUUGGAAACAAGAUUGUCUGCCCUCGUGGUGAAACGUACACAGGUGCUGCAUGGUUGUCGUCAGCUCGUGCCGUGAGGUGUUGGGUUAAGUCCCGUAACGAGCGAAACCCCUGUCGAUAGUUGCCAGCGCGUCAAGGCGGGCACUCUAUCGAGACUGCCGGCGUUAAGCCGGAGGAAGGCGGGGAUGACGUCAAAUCAUCAUGGCCUUUAUGCCCAGGGAUGCACACGUGCUACAAUGCCCGGUACAACCGAUGCAAACUCGCAAGAGCCAGCAAAUCGUAAAAAACCGGGACCAGUUCAGAUUGUGGUCUGCAACUCGA
rnacentral:rRNA from 1 species